rnacentral:rRNA from 1 species
GACGAACGCUGGCGGCGUGCUUAACACAUGCAAGUCGAACGGAAAGGCCCUGCUUUUGUGGGGUGCUCGAGUGGCGAACGGGUGAGUAACACGUGAGUAACCUGCCCUUGACUUUGGGAUAACUUCAGGAAACUGGGGCUAAUACCGGAUAGGAGCUCCUGCUGCAUGGUGGGGGUUGGAAAGUUUCGGCGGUUGGGGAUGGACUCGCGGCUUAUGAGCUUGUUGGUGGGGGAGUGGCUUACCAAGGCUUUGACGGGUAGCCGGCCUGAGAGGGUGACCGGCCACAUUGGGACUGAGGUACGGCCCAGACUCCUACGGGAGGCAGCAGUGGGGAAUAUUGCACAAUGGGCGGAAGCCUGAUGCAGCAACGCCGCGUGCGGGAUGCCGGCCUUCGGGUUGUAAACCGCUUUCGCCUGUGACGAAGCGUGAGUGACGGUAAUGGGUAAAGAAGCACCGGCUAACUACGUG